GUGCUUGCUCACUUUGGCAGCACAUAUACUAAAAUUGAAAUGAAGAUUAGCAUGCCCCCUGUGCAAGGAUGACAUGCAAAUUGGUGGAAAAAUAAUCUUUGUA